UAAGGGUUUUGUAUUCC
rnacentral:rRNA from 1 species